rnacentral:sRNA from 1 species
GCUGGGCACAGUGGUGCAUGCCUGUAAUUCCAGCAGCUCAGUAGGCUGAGGCAGGAAGAUCGUGAAGUUCAAAGCCAGCCUCAGCAACCUAGCAAGGCCUGAAGCAACUUAAUGAGAUCCUGUCUCAA